rnacentral:rRNA from 1 species
UGCCAGCCGCCGCGGUAAUACGAAGGGUGCUAGCGUUGUUCGGAAUUACUGGGCGUAAAGGGCGUGUAGGCGGAUGAUCAAGCUAGAGGUGAAAGCCCAGGGCCUAACCCUGGAACUGCCUUUAGAACUGAUUGUCUAGAAUCCGUAAGGGGAGUGUGGAAUUCCUAGUGUAGAGGUGAAAUUCGUAGAUAUUAGGAAGAACACCAGUGGCGAAGGCGGCACUCUGGUACGGUAUUGACGCUGAGGCGCGAAAGCGUGGGGAGCAAACAGGAUUAGAUA